rnacentral:rRNA from 1 species
UACGAAGGGGGGCUAGCGUUGCUCGGAAUCACUGGGCGUAAAGCGCACGUAGGCGGCUUUUUAAGUCAGGGGUGAAAUCCUGGAGCUCAACUCCAGAACUGCCUUUGAUACUGAGAGGCUUGAGUCCGGGAGAGGUGAGUGGAACUGCGAGUGUAGAGGUGAAAUUCGUAGAUAUUCGCAAGAACACCAGUGGCGAAGGCGGCUCACUGGCCCGGUACUGACGCUGAGGUGCGAAAGCGUGGGGGAGCAAACAGG